rnacentral:lncRNA from 1 species
AGCAACUUUGUUAUUGAAAACUUUUACAUUUGGAGCUUGUAUCAUGAUGAAUUAUGAGGUAGAAUUUGGAGAAAUCAAACAUGGUUGAAAAUUUUCUAAGUAUAAAAUCAAAUGAUCACUUUUUCCACCUUGAAUAACUUUUGCUAUGAGCUUCAAAUGAAGAUGGUUCCUUCAUCAAAGUUGUAGCUUAUUCAUUCCUUUUAAAUUUGGUCACAAAUUUGACGCCAU